AACGAACGCUGGCGGCGCGCCUAAUACAUGCAAGUCGAGCGAGAAGACGUAGCAAUACGUUUGUAAAGCGGCGAACGGGUGAGGAAUACAUGGGUAACCUACCCUCGAGUGGGGAAGUAACUAGCCGAAAGGUUAGCUAAUAUCGCGUACGCUCCUUGGACUUCGGUUCAGGGAGGAAAGCGAUACCGUGGGUAUCGCGCUCUUGGAUGGGCUCAUGUCCUAUCAGCUUGUUGGUGAGGUAACGGCUCACCAAGGCUUCGACGGGUAGCUGGUCUGAGAGGACGAUCAGCCACACUGGCACUGCGACACGGGCCAGACUCCUACGGGAGGGCAGCAGUAAGGAAUAUUGCGCAAUGGGCGAAAGCCUGACGCAGCGACGCCGCGUGGGGGAUGAAGGU
rnacentral:rRNA from 1 species